rnacentral:rRNA from 1 species
AGUGAACGCUGGCGGUAGUCCUAACACAUGCAAGUCGAACGGCAGCACAGUAAGAGCUUGCUCUUACGGGUGGCGAGUGGCGGACGGGUGAGGAAUACAUCGGAAUCUACUUUUUCGUGGGGGAUAACGUAGGGAAACUUACGCUAAUACCGCAUACGACCUACGGGUGAAAGCAGGGGAUCUCGGACCUUGUGCGAUUGAAUGAGCCGAUGUCGGAUUAGCUAGUUGGCGGGGUAAAGGCCCACCAAGGCGACGAUCCGUAGCUGGUCUGAGAGGAUGAUCAGCCACACUGGAACUGAGACACGGUCCAGACUCCUACGGGAGGCAGCAGUGGGGAAUAUUGGACAAUGGGCGAAAGCCUGAUCCAGCCAUACCGCGUGGGUGAAGAAGGCCUUCGGGUUGUAAAGCCCUUUUGUUGGGAAAGAAAAGCAGCAGGUUAAUACCCCGCUGUUCUGACGGUACCCAAAGAAUAAGCACCGGCUAACUUCGUG